GACGUAGGGGGCAAGCGUUGUCCGGAAUCAUUGGGCGUAAAGCGCUCGUAGGCGGACCUUUAAGUCGGUGAAGAAAGUCCAGGGCUCAACCCUGGGAUGCGGGUGGAUACUGUCGGGCUCGAGUCCGGAAGAGGCGAGUGGAAUUCCUGGUGUAGCGGUGAAAUGCGCAGAUAUCAGGAGGAACACCAAUGGCGAAGGCAGCUCGCUGGGACGUGACUGACGCUGAGACGCGAAAGCGUGGGGAGCAAACAGG
rnacentral:rRNA from 1 species